UACGUAGGUGGCAAGCGUUGUCCGGAAUUAUUGGGCGUAAAGCGCGCGCAGGCGGCCUUUUAAGUCUGAUGUGAAAGCCCACGGCUCAACCGUGGAAGGUCAUUGGAAACUGAAAGGCUUGAGUACAGAAGAGGAAAGCGGAAUUCCACGUGUAGCGGUGAAAUGCGUAGAGAUCCGGAAGAACACCGGUGGCGAAGGCGGCCCGCUGGGCAGAGACUGACGCUGAUGCGCGAAAGCGUGGGGAGCAAACAGG
rnacentral:rRNA from 1 species